AGAUUUACUUAAUGCCUAUGAUUUGCUAGACUCUGUUAGGCACUGGGGAUGAACGGGUGAACAGCGCAAAACAAAUCCUAGAUCUUAUAGUCACACGGUCCUAUGGGAAGUUCAUAGGAUAGUCUGUUGCUGUUUUCAAAGGAAUUAUGUCUGGGGCGCCUGGGUGGCUCAGUCAGCCUCAAGGACUCCAUCUGAGUGGGAAAGGAGAAAAGGAGCUGUUCACAUUCCUGAUCAAGCAUUAAGUGGCAAGAUGCUCUUUUGGGAUUUAUUCAAGUAGGAGUUUUAUGACUACAGAGCUUGAGUUUGGAGAAAUGAUUGUUGAAUUUAUGAGCAUUUGGACUAGAUGGAUAUUAAGACACCAUUCAACUUCAUUCCAUGAUUCCAUACUCAACGUAUAGCCAUAACUCUGACAGAAUCUUGGCCUUAAAAGAAAUUGUGUUCUCCCAUACCAGAGUUGCCUCUCAGGAGAACUGGAUUCUAUUUUGCUUCUGGAAUCUUUGCUGAAAUAAAGAUUUCUUGUUAGGCU